rnacentral:tRNA from 2 species
AGGAGUUUAGGAUAAUUAGACCAAGAGCCUUCAAAGCCCUAAGCGGAGGUGAAAACCCCCCAACCCCUG